rnacentral:rRNA from 1 species
GACAAGGAAGGCGUAACGAUCUGGGCACUGUCUCAACGAGAGACUCGGUGAAAUUAUAGUACCUGUGAAGAUGCAGGUUACCCGCGACAGGACGGAAAGACCCCAUGGAGCUUUACUGCAGUUUGAUAUUGAGUGUUUGUACAGCUUGUACAGGAUAGGUAGGAGCCAUUGAAGCCAGGACGCCAGUCUUGGUGGAGGCGUUGGUGGGAUACUACCCUUGCUGUAUGACCACUCUAACCCACAGCCCUUAUCGGGCUGGGAGACAGUGUCUUACGGGCAGUUUG